AAGCCCACCAAAUUGAUUAAUUUCCAUGUGCCAAAUUAAUAUAAGGGGCCAUAUAUGCAUUAUUUAUUCAUUAGAAACUUCAAGAACCAAGAACAAAACACAAAGAAGAGCAAAAAUAAGGCCAUUUCGGGUUUGGCCAUAGGAAAAUCACCCCUCAAAAUCUUGCCUCUAAAAUUAUUUUCUUGUUGAAUUCCUACUAAAUUAAGUGUCCUUUACAACUUGGUGUAGUUGUUUUGGAAGAAGGAGCACUUAUUUCUUCAAGUUGACAACUUGUUCAAUUGAAGAAAUUUGUAGAAAAAGAUUUUGAAGGAAACGGGAAUUGAAUUUGGAAAGGCGUAAAGAGCAUACAAGGUACAGACGACAGAUUUGCUGACCGCCUGCCUAGGAUAUCUAUUCUGCUAUUUUGGGAGUGCUCUUUUGUCCAGAGCCUAUAUGUUGGUACAGUCUGCUGCUAUUGUAUAUAUGUAUGCUAUUCAGGGGUAUGACGGGGCCCUGUCCCGUCUUAUGAUUCUGUUAUGUGCUGUAGAGGUCUGUAGACAUACUUGUGUGGGUUCUGUAUAUGGUUUAGGAUGAUAUGAUCUGUGACAGCCUUAUCGGCUUCCAUGUACUAUGUCGGUUCAUUUAUGAUAAUUACUAACGUCGAUUGACUUUUACAUUUAAAAAUAUUCUGCUGAUAUGCUGAUUUGGGUUAUUGGGUACGUAUGGGUGUCCAGCACGGACACUAGUCGCGGCCUACGGGGUUGGGUCGUGACAAAAGUGGUAUCAGAGCGGUUCGUCCUCGGAGUGUCUACAGACCGUGUCUAGUAGAGUCUUGUUUAUCGG